UACGUAGGGUGCAAGCGUUAAUCGGAAUUACUGGGCGUAAAGCGUGCGCAGGCGGUUGUGCAAGACAGAUGUGAAAUCCCCGGGCUUAACCCUGGGAACUGCAUUUGUGACUGCACGGCUAGAGUGUGUCAGAGGGGGGGUAGAAUUCCACGUGUAGCAGUGAAAUGCGUAGAUAUGUGGAGGAAUACCGAUGGCGAAGGCAGCCCCCCUGGGAUAACACUGACGCUCAUGCACGAAAGCGUGGGGGAGCAAACAGG
rnacentral:rRNA from 1 species